GUGAGGAAUCUUGCCCAAUGGGGGAAACCCUGAGGCAGCGACACCGCGUGCGGGAUGAAGGCCUUCGGGUCGUAAACCGCUUUUCUGGGGGACGAGGAAGGACGGUACCCCAGGAAGAAGUCCCGGCUAACUACGUGCCAGCAGCCGCGGUAAAACGUAGGGGGCGAGCGUUAUCCGGAAUCACUGGGCGUAAAGGGCGUCUAGGCGGCGGUCUAAGUCCCGUGUGAAAGCUCCCGGCUCAACUGGGAGAGGGCAUGGGAGACUGGGGCGCUUGAGACUCGGAGGGGGGUGUGGAAUUCCCGGUGGAGUGGUGAAAUGCGUUGAGAUCGGGAGGAACACCUGUGGCGAAGGCGGCACCCUGGCCGAGUUCUGACGCUGAAGCGCGACAGCGUGGGGAGCGAACGGGAUUAGAAACCCUUGUAGUCC
rnacentral:rRNA from 1 species